GAGGGGCUAACUGUUGGGGUCAAAACCGGUCACGAUGGAAUGAAUGCCUGAAAGUUCCCAGAAAACCAACUCUCGAUCGAUCCUUGAAAAUUAGACAUUCCCGGAAAACGGUUAAAUCAAGUAAAAGACAGUUUUUACCGGAUGCGAACCGAGGAACGUUGAGAAGAGGAUCAGUCUGGAUGAGGUCUCAAUCGUUGUGUCUAUCGAUAUUUUGAAAGGAGUAUCGAUCGAUAUUCUUUAAGAAUUAUCAGUCUUCGGAAAUGUCUAUACUUCUAAAGCACCUCACUUCUUCCUCCCUUUCUCUCUCUAACCCACGUUUUAGAGUGUCCUUGGUGUGUCUGAAUGAGUGAAAAUGAACCAGGGUAGCUGGGUAUAUAUAGAAGUUGCUGGCCAAUAAAAAUGAGCCACCCGAUCGCCUGUGUGUCGUCCCGCAUGCUUCCGGUCGAAUGCGUGGCGACAC
rnacentral:lncRNA from 1 species